GGAAGUGGAUCGUGCAGAGCAAGCAUCACACCAUGGCGUAUGAGUGUUCCUCUGUGUAGACUCAACCUGCGCCUCGCCGUCCCCCAUUCGCACACCCGAUGCCCGGGGGUCGCUACGGACUUGAAAUCGCCGCACCGCACCCUCCACCUCAGAAACGUUCUGGAUCCGAACACUGCCCCCCGACAACCUAGAGAGAUCCCAGCUCCCAGCCCACUGAGUGGCUUCAGCCUCGCUGGCACCUCCAAACUCCUGGCCCCUCUGCACCAGGCGCCUGCCCUGGGCCCCACCUACAGGGGACCCAGCUCUUCUAGCAGCUGCUGGAAGCUGAUCACCUGCAGUGAAGGCCUCACACGAAGAAGUCUGGAAGAAGAGGAAGAGGAAAGAAAAGGAGUCAGGGAUGGCCCUUACUCAGAUUCCAUCUCCCGCGACCCAGUGACAUGAGCUUGGGAAGAGGCUGCACUGGGCAUGGUCCUGGGAAGGGCUCACACCCAGACAUGGAUGGAGACGGGGUGAGGGUCCCAUGGUGUCAGUGCUGUUGGGCAGCAGGGAUUGUUCAGGGGCCACAUCUGGAUGCACUGUCAG
rnacentral:sRNA from 1 species